AACGCGAAGAACCUUACCAAGGCUUGACAUAUACUGGACCGCCUCAGAGAUGGGGUUUCCCUUCGGGGCUGGUAUACAGGUGGUGCAUGGUUGUCGUCAGCUCGUGUCGUGAGAUGUUGGGUUAAGUCCCGCAACGAGCGCAACCCUCGUUCUAUGUUGCCAGCACGUUAUGGUGGGGACUCAUAGGAGACUGCCGGGGUCAACUCGGAGGAAGGUGGGGAUGACGUCAAAUCAUCAUGCCCCUUAUGUCUUGGGCUUCACGCAUGCUACAAUGGCCGGUACAAAGGGUUGCGAUACUGUGAGGUUGAGCUAAUCCCAAAAAGCCGGUCUCAGUUCGGAUUGGGGUCUGCAACUCGACCCCAUGAAGUCGGAGUCGC
rnacentral:rRNA from 1 species